UACGUAGGUGACAAGCGUUGUCCGGAUUUACUGGGCGUAAAGCGUGCGUAGACGGCUAUCUAAGUCGGGUGUGAAAGCCCCGGGCUCAACCUGGGAAUUGCAUUCGAGACUGAAUAGCUAGGGUACGGUAGAGGGAAGUGGAAUUUCCGGUGUAGCGGUGAAAUGCGUAGAUAUCGGAAGGAACAUCAGUGGCGAAAGCGACUUCCUGGACCAGUACCGACGUCAGGCACGAAAGCGUGGGGAGCAAACAGG
rnacentral:rRNA from 1 species